UACGGGGGGGGGCAAGCGUUGUUCGGAAUUACUGGGCGUAAAGGGCGCGUAGGCGGUCUACUAAGUUGGAUGUGAAAACUCUGGGCUCAACCCCAGAGCCUGCAUUCGAUACUGAUGGGCUAGAGUUCUGGAGGGGAAAGCGGAAUUCCUGGUGUAGCGGUGAAAUGCGUAGAUAUCAGGAGGAACACCAAUAGCGAAGGCAGCUCGCUGGGACGUUACUGACACUGAGGCGCGAAAGCGUGGGGAGCGAACAGG
rnacentral:rRNA from 1 species